AUUGAACGCUGGCGGCAUGCCUAACACAUGCAAGUCGAACGGUAACAGGAAGCAGCUUGCUGCUUCGCUGACGAGUGGCGGACGGGUGAGUAAUGUCUGGGAAACUGCCUGAUGGAGGGGGAUAACUACUGGAAACGGUAGCUAAUACCGCAUAACGUCGCAAGACCAAAGAGGGGGACCUUCGGGCCUCUUGCCAUCGGAUGUGCCCAGAUGGGAUUAGCUAGUAGGUGGGGUAACGGCUCACCUAGGCGACGAUCCCUAGCUGGUCUGAGAGGAUGACCAGCCACACUGGAACUGAGACACGGUCCAGACUCCUACGGGAGGCAGCAGUGGGGAAUAUUGCACAAUGGGCGCAAGCCUGAUGCAGCCAUGCCGCGUGUGUGAAGAAGGCCUUCGGGUUGUAAAGCACUUUCAGCGGGGAGGAAGGGGGAAUGGUUAAUAACCAUUGCCAUUGACGUUACCCGCAGAAGAAGCACCGGCUAACUCCGUGCCAGCCGCCGCGGUAA
rnacentral:rRNA from 1 species